GAAAUUUGAAUUGAGAUCAGUUUUGGAAAAAGAGAAAAGGGGGAUGUGAAAAAAAAUGGGGGGGGGGGUUAAAUUUUUCUCAUUCAGAUUUCAUAAAUAAAAAAAAUUUCUUCAAACAUUUUUUUGAGAGGAUUAAUAUUCAACAGCAUAGUGAAUUGCUCAAAGGAAAAAAAAGUAUUUUAAGUUCAUUAGACACAUCAUUCUGUGUCAGAAACCUAUGCUGUGUCAACUAUUUAAUCACAAUCUAAAUUUAGAGCUGAAUCCAGCUUGAAUGUUGUGUCCAUACUUGCCC
rnacentral:lncRNA from 1 species